GAGCCGUGAUGAGAGUUGCGCUAAAGUGGAAGGAGGGUCCUCCACAAGAAUCUGACCAUCAGAUGAUUAAAAGGCGCUACUGAGCUC
rfam:Beta vulgaris subsp. vulgaris chromosome 2, whole genome shotgun sequence.